rnacentral:rRNA from 1 species
AAGUCGAACGAAGCGCCUGCGGCGGACCCCUCCGGGGGAAAGCCGCGGGGGACUGAGUGGCGGACGGGUGAGCAACGCGUGGGCAACCUGCCCCGUACCGGGGGACAACAGCCGGAAACGGCUGCUAAUACCGCAUAUUCCCGCGGGGCCGCAUGGCCCUGCGGGGAAAGCUCCGGCAGUACGGGAUGGGCCCGCGUCUGAUUAGCUUGUUGGCGGGGUAACGGCCCACCAAGGCUGCGAUCAGUAGCCGGCCUGAGAGGGCGGCCGGCCACAUUGGGACUGAGACACGGCCCAGACUCCUGCGGGAGGCAGCAGUGGGGGAUAUUGCACAAUGGGGGGAACCCUGAUGCAGCGACGCCGCGUGAACGAAGAAAUAUUUCGGUAUGUAAAGUUCUAUCAGCAGGGAAGAAAAUGACAGUACCUGACCAAGAAGCCCCGGCUAACUACGUGCCAGCAGCCGCGGUAAUACGUAGGGGGCGAGCGUUAUCCGGAUUCACUGGGCGUAAAGGGAGCGCAGGCGGCACGGCAAGUCCGGUGUGAAAGCCCGGGGCCCAACCCCGGGACUGCACUGGAAACUGCCGGGCUGGAGUGUCGGAGGGGCAGGCGGAAUUCCUAGUGUAGCGGUGAAAUGCGUAGAUAUUAGGAGGAACACCGGUGGCGAAGGCGGCCUGCUGGACGACGACUGACGCUGAGGCUCGAAAGCGUGGGG